GUGGGGAAUUUUGGACAAUGGGCGCAAGCCUGAUCCAGCAAUGCCGCGUGCAGGAAGAAGGCCUUCGGGUUGUAAACUGCUUUUGUACGGAACGAAACGGUCCUGGCUAAUAUCCGGGGCUAAUGACGGUACCGUAAGAAUAAGCACCGGCUAACUACGUGCCAGCAGCCGCGGUAAUACGUAGGGUGCGAGCGUUAAUCGGAAUUACUGGGCGUAAAGCGUGCGCAGGCGGUUCUGUAAGACAGGCGUGAAAUCCCCGGGCUCAACCUGGGAAUUGCGCUUGUGACUGCAGUGCUGGAGUGCGGCAGAGGGGGAUGGAAUUCCGCGUGUAGCAGUGAAAUGCGUAGAUAUGCGGAGGAACACCGAUGGCGAAGGCAAUCCCCUGGGCCUGCACUGACGCUCAUGCACGAAAGCGUGGGGAGCAAACAGGAUUAGAAACCCGAGUAGUCC
rnacentral:rRNA from 1 species